UUUACAUGCCUGUCUCUCCCACUAGAUGGUGCAACCACACAGAGACGUCAUCUGAUUUACCUAGCGUGGUGCUUGGCACAUAGUAGGUGCUCAAAAAAUUACUUGAAUGAAUGAAUGAAUAAAUGUGCUUCAUCUUAGUUGACAAAGCAACGGGAGAGGCUGGAGAUGGACUUGGUACGGAUCCACCCUGCAACUUCCCUUGAGGCAUCCACCCUUUCCUCGUUCCUCACAACCCUUCCAAAGCAAAGCUGUUCAACUGUGAGAUUUGCAAUUUGAUUUACUCCUGAGUGACAUCAUAGCCAUUACCAUGGCAACACCCAGCGAUGCCUGUCUGCCAGACAAAGUCUCUCCCAUCAGCAAAGGGCAGAUGGACACCCAGGAUGGAAAGGAGCCAUUUGUGAGGCACAAGCAUCAGCCUUUGCUGCCCUGCAGCCAGGGGCUGAUGGAGCUGGUGCUGGUAUAUCAGGGGUGGGUGCCCCUGCGGGGUGGAAGCCUCAAAAUCCUUCCUUGCCACGGAAGAACUCUUUAUCUCUAAGACAGGCCAGCUGCAGCCAAAAGCAAAAUUACGCCAGUGGGGGCCAAGUAUAACACAGGCAACUCUGGCUGGCUUAUCUGUGUAAUCCUCCCUUCGGCCCUCAAAACACUUGAGCAGUAGACAAAGCCAUUGUUUUCCUGUCUGACUAUCUCUCUCUUUCCCUUCCUGAUUUCUUACUUUCCCUCCUGCUGCCUUUCUGUCCUCUCUUUCUCUUACCCUACCUCACUACCAUCUUCUCUCUGUUUUUGUCAACAGUUGUCACAAACCUGAAGUGUGUCAGACCCUGUCUUGGACAGACGUGGAGUAUUAACUGGUGUCUAGGAUGGGUCUCUCUCUUAUGGAAAAAGGAGUAAAGCCCCACCCUUUCCUUUUGGGAGGAGGUCUUAGGUUGCAGCUUGUGGGUGAGGGGCAUUGAAGAGGAAAGAAAUGUUGCUGGUAUGAUGAGUAAAACCUCAGAACACAUUUCUUAUAGCAACAGAAUUAUAAACAAGAGUUGGUUGUAGUUAAAAUACUACUGGUAUCUCUCCAAGUAGUUAGGGAUCAAAUAAGAUUUUAUGGAUCAGUCUGGAAAUCCAACCAGCAUCUUAGGUGAAAGGAUCCUGAUUCUAAACUUUUAGACACUAUCUCACAUGCACUGAGAGCUGUAUCUAGUGUUCUCCCAUUUCCUCUCUCUGUGCUUCUCAGGGCCACUUAGACUUCCUUCAUCCCCAGAAUCAAAGGGACCAGAAACUUAGAAGAUGUCACAAUUUUAUCUGCUACUGACCCUGCAGGCAGGGCUGCCUGGUGGUGAAACAAUAUGGUAUGUAACAGAGUCGAGACAGGUUUGUGUAGGAUGGAUGCAGGCUCCAACCCUGUGCUGCACUGCCUGGCUGCCCGAUCUCCCUCAACGAGCCUCAGUUUUUCACCUGUAAAGUGGGGAUAAUGCGUCCACAUCUCAGGAUCAUUGUGAAGAGUGAGGACAUCACAUAUAAAAAAACUGGCCCACAGAAAGCAUGGAGUAAAUGCCAGCUGUUACAGCAGCUUCUGUAGGAAGGCAGAGCCUGCCUUGCAGCCACUCCACUGGCAAACGUGUCAAUAGGAAGAGUGAGAAGUGAGCAGUGCCUCCUGAGCUGAUGCCUACAGAGGAGCUGUGACAAUCUGCCUCUAGAACAACCUCAGCAAGCUGCCUGGCCCAGGGGAAAUCCAACCGUGGUGACUUUGCCCAGAUUCUGCAAGAUGCUUUCUAAUUGUUGGUGUUCACGAGGGACAAGCAACAGCUGAGCUCAUUCCCUUCCUAUCAAUUUGCAACAUCUGCCCCAGCCCUUACUGACAGUAGAGAAAAAUAAGGACUUUCCGAUCACACCUUUAGGCCACCAAUCUUCAAUGAGUUACUGGGCCCUUCCAGAAAUCAGAUUUUCUAACUGGUCCCUGCAUUGGCUCCAGCAGCUUUGGAGUGGAAAUCCAAAAGCAUGGGAAGACCCUGGGCCGAGGGAGCAGAGGCUGAAACUCUGGGAAAAGCUGUGAGGACCACAAAAGUGGUUGGGCCCCUAAUGGCCUCAAGACCCGGGGUACAACAAACCCCACAGGAGGCCCAAUGACACCCCCUGUCCUAACUCAGCUCAGGAAGAGGCAGCUGCCAUGGUUUAAAGAAUGUGGGUUUUUAGGGUAGAUAGACCCCACAUCUGCUCCAUA
rnacentral:lncRNA from 1 species